rnacentral:rRNA from 1 species
AGAGUUUGAUCCUGGCUCAGGAUGAACGCUGGCGGCAUGCCUAAUACAUGCAAGUCGAACGAGGAUCCUUCGGGAUCCUAGUGGCGAACGGGUGAGUAACACGUAGGGAACCUGCCCGCGCACCGGGAAUACGCUCUGGAAACGGAGAACAAAUCCCGAUGUACAGGAAGGAGGCAUCUUCUUUCUGUGAAACAUCCUGUAAGGGAUGGGGCGCGGAUGGACCUGCGGUGCAUUAGUUGGUUGGCGAGGGUAAAGGCCCACCAAGACGAUGAUGCAUAGCCGGCCUGAGAGGGCGGACGGCCACAUUGGGACUGAGACACGGCCCAGACUCCUGCGGGAGGCAGCAGUAGGGAAUUUUCGUCAAUGGGCGCAAGCCUGAACGAGCGAUGCCGCGUGAGUGAAGAAGGCCUUCGGGUCGUAAAGCUCUGUUGCGGGGGAAAAAAGCAUCUGCAGGAAAUGGUAGAUGACAGAUGGUGCCCCGCCAGAAAGUCACGGCUAACUACGUGCCAGCAGCCGCGGUAAUACGUAGGUGGCGAGCGUUAUCCGGAAUGAUUGGGCGUAAAGGGUGCGCAGGCGGUCCUGCAAGUCUGGAGUGAAACGUAUGAGCUCAACUCAUGCAUGGCUCUGGAAACUGGAGGACUGGAGAGCAGGAGAGGGCGGUGGAACUCCAUGUGUAGCGGUAAAAUGC